UCCAGAAUCACGCCCUCCUGGGCCAUGUUGUC
rnacentral:piRNA from 1 species